GCGGACAUAGCUCAGUUGGGAGANGCGUCAGACUGAAGUCAACUUCAAUCAUUUAAUCUGAAGGUCGUGUGUUCAAUCCACACUGGCCGCA
rnacentral:tRNA from 1 species